rnacentral:rRNA from 1 species
GACGAACGCUGGCGGCGUGCCUAACACAUGCAAGUCGAACGAAGCUUGACGAACGAUUCUUCGGAUGAAUUCUGAUAUGACUGAGUGGCGGACGGGUGAGUAACGCGUGGGUAACCUGCCUUAUACAGGGGGAUAACAGUUGGAAACGACUGCUAAUACCGCAUAAGCGCACGGUAUCGCAUGAUACAGUGUGAAAAACUCCGGUGGUAUAAGAUGGACCCGCGUCUGAUUAGCUAGUUGGUGAGGUAACGGCCCACCAAGGCGACGAUCAGUAGCCGGCCUGAGAGGGUGAACGGCCACAUUGGGACUGAGACACGGCCCAAACUCCUACGGGAGGCAGCAGUGGGGAAUAUUGCACAAUGGGGGAAACCCUGAUGCAGCGACGCCGCGUGAGUGAUGAAGUAUUUCGGUAUGUAAAGCUCUAUCAGCAGGGAAGAUAAUGACGGUACCUGACUAAGAAGCACCGGCUAAAAUACGUGCCAGCA